CAAAUCCCCCCGAGACCCCGCGGUUUCUGGUCAUGCCACCUCUGUUUACACUACUGCGACCAGAUCUGUCAUAGUGCACAGCUGCCUUCUUCAAGGUCCCAAACUCCGCAAAGAGCUCCUGAGAAUGAGAGGAAAAGGAGCAUGCCCAUCCAUCAAUGCUGCAGCACCCCACACAGACACACUCAGCCAGCAUCAGUGCUUGUCCAACCACCACAGACAACCUGGCAAGACCCAAGGGCACAGGGGAGUACAGCCCAUCAGGAAGAUUUCAGGGAGUCAUCACAAGUGGCAAAACCAAGCAGGACUCCAUGUUCAUGUCCUGCAGGAGGCACAGUUACAGCCAGUGAAGCAGAUUCAAGGGAUGCUGACCUGCUUUUUUCCCCAUGGGAACUGGGGGUUUUUCUUGAAGAUGAGUCAAAGCAGCAACUACUGAAAAUACUCCAGACCCCAGACACCUUUCUCACAGGGGAGAAUGACCAUGUGAGUGCAUGGAUACACGGGAUGAUGACAUUUUUACUGUGCUGGACUUGUGCCUAUUACAAACGUACCCCGGUAAUGGAGACCAAUAAAGUCCUCUGCUGAGGUCUGUCCUUUGUUGCCACAAAGACUGGAAAUAAAGAGAUGCAGCAACAGAA